AUGGCUGUCGUCAGCUCGUGUCGUGAGAUGUAUGGUUAAGUCCAGUAACGAGCGCAACCCCUAUCCUUAUUUGCCAGCGCAUAAUGGCGGGAACUAUAAGGAGACUGCCGGUCAUAAACCGGAGGAAGGCGGGGACGACGUCAAGUCAUCAUGGCCCUUAUGGGUAGGGCUACACACGUGAUACAAUGGGUGGUACAGAGGGUCGCCAAAGCGCGAGCUGGAGCCAAACCCUUAAAACCAUUCUUAGUCCGGAUUGGAGUCUGCAACUCGACUCCAUGAAGUCGGAAUCGCUAGUAAUCGCGAAUCAGAAUGUCGCGGUGAAUACGUUCUCGGGCCUUGUACACACCGCCCGUCACGUCAUGGAAGUGGGUUGCACCAGAAGUGGCUUGUUUAACCUUCGGGAAAACGGUCACCACGGUGUGAUUCACAACUGGGACGAAGUCGUAACAAGGUAGCCCUAGGGGAACCUGGGGCUGGAUCACCUCCUUAAAAAAUAAUCGCUUAGGAUAGGCGUUCACACGAAUAACUUGCUUUUACCUAAAUCAUUUCUUUACAGAUUUGAGAUUAAGGAGCGUUCUUUAACAUUUUUAUAAGUUCAAUCAAGUCACAUCAUAGUGUCUUUGUUUUUUAAUUUAGAUAUGAAUGAUGUGCAAAUGUCACCAAACCCGUCAUGUUCUAGAACAUAAGUUUGGUGUACAUACUGCAAAGUAAUUUUGGCGAAUGACAAUAGAUACUUGAAGAACAUUAAUCAUUAAGUUGUUUGAUGUAAUAUGGUCAAGUAAUUAAGCGCAUACGGUGGAUGCCUUGGCAGCUAGAGGCGAUGAAGGACGUAGUAACUUGCGAUAAGCUUCGGGGAGCCGGUAAACAGGCUUUGAUCCGAAGAUUUCCGAAUGGGGAAACCCGG
rnacentral:sRNA from 1 species